rnacentral:tRNA from 1 species
GCCUCGGUGGCUUAGGGGUACGUGCCGAAGCAAAGCUUCGCCGGCUUAGACCGGAACGCUCUAAAUAGCGCUGCCUUGGUAAGGCAGAGGUCGGGAGUUCAAUUCUCCCCCGAGGCU